rnacentral:lncRNA from 1 species
AUAGAUUAACUUCCAAAAAAUAUAUUUAUAACCAUGUAAUAUGUACAUUUACAUGUGCUAGGGUAACAUUUUACCCGAGCACACAUCAAAAAAAUAGUUCACAUGAUAUGUUGUUGCCACCCAAUUGGCAUCUACCAAAAAUAUGUACAUAAUUGUACAAUACUCCAAAAGCCAACAUUUACAACAAAAAAUCAACAAAAAAAUACAAUC